rnacentral:rRNA from 1 species
UUCUCCUGGAAAAGGGUGGUAAUGCCGGAUGCUCCAGUUGAUCGCAUGGUCUUCUGGGAAAGCUUUCGCGGUAUGGGAUGGGGUCGCGUCCUAUCAGCUUGACGGCGGGGUAACGGCCCACCGUGGCUUCGACGGGUAGCCGGCCUGAGAGGGCGACCGGCCACAUUGGGACUGAGAUACGGCCCAGACUCCUACGGGAGGCAGCAGUGGGGAAUAUUGCACAAUGGGCGCAAGCCUGAUGCAGCGACGCCGCGUGAGGGAUGGAGGCCUUCGGGUUGUAAACCUCUUUUAUCGGGGAGCAAGCGAGAGUGAGUUUACCCGUUGAAUAAGCACCGGCUAACUACGUGCCAGCAGCCGCGGUAAUACGUAGGGUGCAAGCGUUAUCCGGAAUUAUUGGGCGUAAAGGGCUCGUAGGCGGUUCGUCGCGUCCGGUGUGAAAGUCCAUCGCUUAACGGUGGAUCCGCGCCGGGUACGGGCGGGCUUGAGUGCGGUAGGGGAGACUGGAAUUCCCGGUGUAACGGUGGAAUGUGUAGAUAUC